rnacentral:rRNA from 1 species
UACGGGGGGAGCAAGCGUUGUUCGGAUUUACUGGGCGUAAAGGGCGCGUAGGCGGCCACCGCAAGUCGGUUGUGAAAUCUCCGGGCUUAACCCGGAAAGGUCAAUCGAUACUGCGGGGCUAGAGUGCAGAAGGGGCAACUGGAAUUCUCGGUGUAGCAGUGAAAUGCGUAGAUAUCGGGAAGAACACCAGUGGCGAAAGCGCUCUACUGGGCCAUAACUGACACUGAGGGACGAAAGCUAGGGGAGCGAAAGGG